GCCGGGCGUGGUGGCGGGCGCCUGUAGUCCCAGCUACUCGGAGGCUGAGGCAGGAGAAUGGCCUGAACCUGGGAGGCGGAGCUUGCAGUGAGCCGAGAUUGCGCCACUGCACUCCAGCCUGGGUGACACAGCGCGAGACUCCGUCUCCAAAAAAAAAAAAAAAAAAAUCACACACAUGAUCACUUUUUUUUUUUUUCCCCCAAGAUGGAGUCUUGCUCUGUGGCCCAGGCUGGAGUGCAGUGGCACGAUCUUUGCUCACUACAACCUCAACCUCCCAGGUUAAAGCGAUUCUCCUGACUCAG
rnacentral:SRP_RNA from 1 species